rnacentral:lncRNA from 1 species
UACAGACUCUAUCAGGAAUCACUUGGGACUGUGCAUUCUGUUGACACUCACUUUGUGGAAUUAAGUUGCCCACUGCCAACCCUAAAGCCACCAAGGUAGCAGAUGAGGUCUUGUUCUUUUGGCCAGGCUGGAGUGCAGUGGUACAGUCGUGACUCACUGCAGCUUCAAACACCUGGGUUCCAGCAUUCAUCCCACUUCAGCCUCCCGUGUAGCCGGGACUACAGUUUUCAAUAUACAUAUGGUAUGAAAUAAUUUCCUAUUGAAGUCAUCUUAACAUGGAACCAGAAUUAAAUCCUAACAACAAUCAUGUGAGCCUGGGGAGGAUCCUUCCCCACGUGAGCCUUCAGGGGAGACUUCAGCCUUGGCCAUCUUCUACAUCUAGAUUCCUGACCAAGAGAAGCUGUUUAGAAUAGUUCACCAGUGAAGUCAUCUCAACCAGCACAGGGCCUUGACUCCUAACAACAAUCACACGAACUUGGAAGAGGAGCCUUCCCCAACUGAACCUUCGCUUGAGACCUCGUCCUUGGCCAUCCUCUACAUCUGGAUUCAUGAUACAGAGAAACUUGAGUAAUGAUGACACUAGCAGUCCAGCCUGCAUGGAUGCUGACAUGGAUGCUGUCUCCCAUUCUUACCACUGGAUGGGAAGAAAUGCUAGAUGCAAUCCAGCCAGUCUGUACUCGACUGUCAGUUCCAUCUUCUCAACUCACAGUGUCUUCCAAAGUCCGUGCCACACCACAGCCUGGAACAUCUCCCAAGGUUUCAAAUAAUUCAUCAGUGAAUUCUUCUCAACCUGGUCAAUCAUGUGAACUUAGAAGAUGAUUCCUCCCCAGCUGAUCCUCAGGUGAGACAUCAGCCUUGGCCAUCAUCUACAUCUGGAUUCCUGACCCAGAGAAACUGGAACACUAAGACCCAUUCUUCUUCUCAAGUAUCCAAAAAUAAAGUUGAUCCAAGUAAGAAGUGGACAGCAUAAAAGAUUGUAUGGAAGCUAUAAUGCAUCUACAUCUGCAGUAACUAAUCAUAAAAUGAUUUGUAUGAUCAUUCUUCACAUGAUUAGAAUUACUAUGGGAAAGAAGAAAAAGAAAUGCCUCUCUGGAUGGUGACUAUAACCUAUAGCCUUGCCCAAUAUGACUCAGGAUUUGGUACUGGCUGUGCCUUUCAUGGGAUGCUUACUUAUCCUGGUCGAUGGCCUAAAGCCCAACCGUCCAGCUUAUAUCCAGGGUCUCAAGCCACCCAGGCUGGAGUGCAGUGGCACAAUUAUGGCUCACUGUAGCCUCACCUUCCUGGGAUCAAGCAAUCUUCUUUCUUCAGCCUCCAGAGGAGCUGGGACCACAGGUUGACAGCUGCCACAUGGCUCUGGGACCUGUGAGAUCCAGUUAUUCCCAAUGCAUUUAAAUUUUCUAUUGAGUGACUGUGGUUCUCAGUAUAAGCUUCCAGCUACAGAGAAAGUUAUUCAAGGAUGCUGGUCUCCCCUUAGAAAUCAGUUUCUUAAAGUAUUGCUGAAAGGUUGGUCUUCUGGAGCCUCCCAGUGUGGAUCCUUUGGCAUUUGAGAGUUGCUUUGUGUAUACGGUCCUUUAACGGAGCAAAUGGCCAGCCAGGAAACCAAAGUAUGGACAAGGGGAAAGAAGCGUCUGUGGAGGAAGUUUUACAAGCGCCCUCCUCAUCCAUUUGGGUGGUGUUGCCCAUAUGCUACAUGUCUGUGGACCACUAUGUGUGUUUAAAGCUUUUUAGUAAAACGUUACUAAAAACUAUGACUCACUGUGGUGAAAAAGGUGGCAAAACAGUGACAACAGUGAGUUUGCUGCUGUUAUUAUCUAUGUGAGUGGUCACGAAAGCACAGGUAGCAGCUGAGGCAAGGGGAGGGAAGCUAGGAAAAGAAUCGCAGUGAGAAAGGGAUGAGAACUUCCAUGUCUGUGUUAAUGUCUGGUUUUAUGAUAAACUUGAAACUCAAGAGGCACAGUUGGAAAUUGUACCUUGCCACUUUGUGUGGCUGAGAGAGAGAAAGCUGUGCCAGCUGAAUGUGUGGACUGUCUUUGCCAGUGCAGGCUGGGAUGCAAAUACCUGUAAUUCUUGGGAAACAACCAGUGAGCCAGAUGAUGACAUAGAGUUUAACUCAGAGGAGGAAGAUCAUUAUCCUUCCCAUUUGAGAGUGAAACUGUUCAUGCAGUGGAAAGCAAAAUUCCAACACACAGAGGCCUGGGUAGGAUUACUGGAUAUAAUAAAAACUUUAAAACAGCUGCCAAGAGAAA